AUGGCGUGCUGCUGCUUCCGUGCUGCCGCGGUGCCGCGCCUCCUCUUCCGCGCCGCCGCGCGGCCCCUCCAGUUGCCGCUCGCCGUCUCCCGAAAGGGUUUCUCGGGGCAGUCAGUCUUGCCAGUCACUGAUUCAGUCGAGAGUUUUCAAGGACCGUCAGUGGAUCACGCCCCCCGGAUUCCGUUGUAUGAUGACAGCUUGCCCUCAGGUGUAUCGACCAUAUUAACGAAUCCUGGUGAGAAUGUCGCUCCUGCUGAUCCUUCAAAGAGCAGAAUCAUGCUUGUUGAUGGAACCUCAGUGAUGUACAGAUCCUACUACAAGAUAUUAGCACAGCUGCAACAUGGUCAGUUGGAACAUGCUGAUGGCAAUGGGGAUUGGGUUUUAACUAUAUUCAAAGCUCUGUCACUGCUUCUUGACAUGUUGGAGUUCCUUCCGUCUCAUGUUGCGAUGGUGUUUGACCAUGAUGGAGUCCCAUAUGGUCAUUAUACAGCCAUGCCAUCCAAAGAAUGUCACAUGGCAAAAGGAAUGACUUUUCGACAUAUGUUAUAUCCUGCUUAUAAGAGCAAUCGCACCUCAACACCAGACACCAUUGUUCAGGGCAUGCAAUACUUGAAGGCAUCUAUCAAAGCAAUGUCAAUUAAAGUAAUCGAGGUUCCAGGUGUCGAAGCUGAUGAUGCUAUUGGUACACUAGCUGUCAACAGUGUGUCUGCAGGCUACAAGGUCCGUGUUGUCUCCCCUGAUAAAGAUUUCUUCCAAAUUUUAUCACCUUCUCUACGUUUGCUGAGGAUUUCUCCACGUGGUUCUGGGAUGGUUUCAUUUGGAGUCGAAGAUUUCGUGAAGAGAUAUGGAGCAUUAAAGCCAUCACAGUUUGUUGAUGUUGUUGCACUUUCAGGCGACAAAGCUGAUAAUAUACCAGGAGUUGAAGGAAUUGGAGAUGUUAAUGCAGUAAAACUAAUAACUAAGUUUGGUUCGUUGGAGAACUUGUUGAGAUCAGUGGAUGAAGUCGAGGACCAGCGAAUCAAACAGGCUUUGAUCUCUCAAUCGGAACAGGCAUUACUCUGCAAAAGCCUGGCCAUAUUACGUUGUGACCUUCCAUCAUACAUGGUUCCUUUUAAGACCCCCGACCUCGUAUUCCAGAAGCCAAAGGAUGAUGGAGCCAAAUUCAUAAAUCUGUUGCGAGCUUUGGAGGCGUAUGCAGAAGGAUCGUCGGCAGACCAAAUCAUCAGAAGAGCUUUGUAUCUCUGGAACAAACUUGAAUCAUGA
rnacentral:rRNA from 1 species